rnacentral:rRNA from 1 species
UACGUAGGGUGCAAGCGUUGUCCGGAAUUAUUGGGCGUAAAGAGCUCGUAGGCGGUCUGUCGCGUCUGCUGUGAAAACUCAGGGCUUAACCCUGAGCUUGCAGUGGGUACGGGCAGACUAGAGUGCGGUAGGGGAGACUGGAAUUCCUGGUGUAGCGGUGAAAUGCGCAGAUAUCAGGAGGAACACCGGUGGCGAAGGCGGGUCUCUGGGGCAGUAACUGACGCUGGAGGAG